rnacentral:rRNA from 1 species
UAGGGAAUCUUCCACAAUGGACGCAAGUCUGAUGGAGCAACGCCGCGUGAGUGAAGAAGGUUUUCGGAUCGUAAAGCUCUGUUGUUGGUGAAGAAGGAUGGAGGCAGUAACUGGUCUUUAUUUGACGGUAAUCAACCAGAAAGUCACGGCUAACUACGUGCCAG